rnacentral:rRNA from 1 species
GACGAACGCUGGCGGCGUGCUUAACACAUGCAAGUCGAACGGAAAGGCCCUGCUUUUGUGGGGUGCUCGAGUGGCGAACGGGUGAGUAACACGUGAGUAACCUGCCCUUGACUUUGGGAUAACUUCAGGAAACUGGGGCUAAUACCGGAUAGGAGCUCCUGCUGCAUGGUGGGGGUUGGAAAGUUUCGGCGGUUGGGGAUGGACUCGCGGCUUAUCAGCUUGUUGGUGGGGUAGUGGCUUACCAAGGCUUUGACGGGUAGCCGGCCUGAGAGGGUGACCGGCCACAUUAGGACUGAGAUACGGCCCAGACUCCUACGGGAGGCAGCGGUGGAGAGUAUUGCACAAUGGGCGGAAGCCUGAUGCAGCAACGCCGCGUGCGGGAUGACGGCCUUCGGGUUGUAAACCGCUUUCGCCUGUGACGAAGCGUGAGUGACGGUAAUGGGUAAAGAAGCACCGGCUAACUACGUG